rnacentral:rRNA from 1 species
UACGAGGGGGGCAAAUGUUGUUCGGAAUCACUGGGCGUAAAGGGAGCGUAGGCGGGUUUUUAAGUCAGGUGUUUAAUCCCGGGGCCCAACCCCGGACCGGCACUUGAAACUGGGAAUCUUGAAUAGUGGAGAGGUCAGUGGAAUUGGGGGUGUAGCGGUGGAAUGCGUAGAGAUCGUAAGGAAGACCAGUGGCGAAGGCGGGUCUCUGGACAGUUCCUGACACUGAGGCACGAAGGCCAGGGGAGCAAACGGG